AUUUCAGUCAAAAUUACGGAAAUUUGAAAAUGGUUUAAUAAAUGCCCAAAUCAGGUUACUAACCUUAAGCUGGAGCUAAUUUGCAAACAAUUAAGCUAACGCUGGAAUGGAAAACAGAAAUCCUAAGAAAUGUUUCUGCAAAGUUGUCGAGUCAUUUGAUUGCAGAUUGCAGAUAGGAGAUUGGACAGCAGCUGCCGGAGCUGAAAAUAUAUUUAUGGACAGUGAAAUUGCUAGGAAAGUGAGAAAGAGUGAAUGGGAGAUGUUGGCACAAGAAAAUGGAAAUUAGUGUCUGAAAAUAAAAUGGAAAAUUUUCGAAUUGUGAGAAUACGCAGAAGCACUUUCGAAUAUGCACUGGUAGAUUGUGUUAUAUUGUGUUAGCAAAAAUUUUAGGUGCUUAAGUAAAUUAUCUUUAAAAUA